rnacentral:rRNA from 1 species
GACGAACGCUGGCGGCGUGCUUAACGCAUGCAAGUCGAACGGAAAGGCCCUGCUUUUGUGGGGUGCUCGAGUGGCGAACGGGUGAGUAACACGUGAGUAACCUGCCCUUGACUUUGGGAUAACUUCAGGAAACUGGGGCUAAUACCGGAUAGGAGCUCCUGCUGCAUGGUGGGGGUUGGAAAGUUUCGGCGGUUGGGGAUGGACUCGCGGCUUAUCAGCUUGUUGGUGGGGUAGUGGCUUACCAAGGCUUUGACGGGUAGCCGGCCUGAGAGGGUGACCGGCGACAUUGGGACUGAGAUACGGCCCAGACUCCUACGGGAGGCAGCAGUGGGGAAUAUUGCACAAUGGGCGGAAGCCUGAUGCAGCAACGCCGCGUGCGGGAUGACGGCCUUCGGGUUGUAAACCGCUUUCGCCUGUGACGAAGCGUGAGUGACGGUAAUGGGUAAAGAAGCACCGGCUAACUACGUG